rnacentral:rRNA from 1 species
UAGCGGAGGAAAAGAAACCAACCGGGAUUGCCUUAGUAACGGCGAGUGAAGCGGCAAAAGCUCAAAUUUGAAAUCUGGUACCUUCGGUGCCCGAGUUGUAAUUUGGAGAGGGCAACUUUGGGGCCGUUCCUUGUCUAUGUUCCUUGGAACAGGACGUCAUAGAGGGUGAGAAUCCCGUGUGGCGAGGAGUGCGGUUCUUUGUAAAGUGCCUUCGAAGAGUCGAGUUGUUUGGGAAUGCAGCUCUAAGUGGGUGGUAAAUUCCAUCUAAAGCUAAAUAUUGGCGAGAGACCGAUAGCGAACAAGUACAGUGAUGGAAAGAUGAAAAGAACUUUGAAAAGAGAGUGAAAAAGUACGUGAAAUUGUUGAAAGGGAAGGGCAUUUGAUCAGACAUGGUGUUUUGUGCCCUCUGCUCCUUGUGGGUAGGGGAAUCUCGCAUUUCACUGGGCCAGCAUCAGUUUUGGUGGCAGGAUAAAUCCAUAGGAAUGUAGCUUGCCUCGGUAAGUAUUAUAGCCUGUGGGAAUACUGCCAGCUGGGACUGAGGACUGCGACGUAAGUCAAGGAUGCUGGCAUAAUGGUUAUAUGCCGCCCGUCUUGAAACAACGGACCA